rnacentral:rRNA from 1 species
GACGAACGCUGGCGGCGUGCUUAACACAUGCAAGUCGAACGAAGUGGCGAACGGGUGAGUAACGCGUAAUCAACCUGCCCUUCAGAGGGGGACAACAGUUGGAAACGACUGCUAAUACCGCAUAAUGAAGGAGGGGAUUGCGUUUGAUUAGCUAGUUGGAGGGGUAACGGCCCACCAAGGCGAUGAUCAGUAGGCGGGCUGGGAGGAUGGACGGCCACAUUGGGGCUUAGGCACGGCCCAGGCGUCUACGGGGAGGAACAGUUGGGAAUCUUCCGCAAAGGACGGAAGUCUGACUGAGCAACGCCGGGGUGGUGGUGACGGGCUUCGGGUUUGAAAAGUCUGUUAAUCCGGGCGCGGUACCGAAAUAGAAAGCCACGGCUAACUACGUGCCAGCAGCCGCGGUAAUAC